AUUGAACGCUGGCGGCAUGCCUUACACAUGCAAGUCGAACGGCAGCACGGGAGCAAUCCUGGUGGCGAGUGGCGAACGGGUGAGUAAUAUAUCGGAACGUGCCCAGUCGUGGGGGAUAACGUAGCGAAAGCUACGCUAAUACCGCAUACGAUCUAUGGAUGAAAGCGGGGGAUCGCAAGACCUCGCGCGAUUGGAGCGGCCAUAUCAGAUUAGUAGUUGGUGAGGUAAAGGCUCACCAAAGCCGACGAUCUGUAGCGUGGUCUGAGAGGACGACCAGCACA
rnacentral:rRNA from 1 species